UAUGUGAUCGUCUCUCGCAUAUCAAUAAGCGGAGGAAAAGAAACUAACAAGGAUUCCCCUAGUAACGGCGAGUGAAGCGGGAUGAGCUCAAAUUUGAAAUCUUAAAGGGUUUCCCUUUACGAAUUGUAGUUUAAAGAAGUGUUUUCUGUUGAGGUUUUGGUAAAAGUUCUUUGGAAUAGGACAUCAUAGAGGGUGAGAAUCCCGUAUUUGACCUUUACUUUCAACUUUGUGAUACACUUUCAAAGAGUCGGAUUGUUUGGGAAUGCAGUCCAAAAUGGGUGGUAAAUUUCAUCUAAAGCUAAAUAUUGGCGAGAGACCGAUAGCGAACAAGUACCGUGAGGGAAAGAUGAAAAGAACUUUGAAAAGAGAGUUAAACAGUACGUGAAAUUGCCAAAAGGGAAACGCUUGGAACCAGUAUUGCUUUCAAGUAAUCAACUUCACGUCCCGCAAGGGUCGCGUGUGGUGCACUUGCUUGCAAGCGAGCCAACAUCAGUUUGGUUUGGGGUAAAAAGCCGGUGGAAGGUAGCUCGAACUUCGGUUUGAGUGUUAUAGCUUCCGGUCAUGCCUUGGGCCAGACUGAGGUCUGCAGCGUUAUUUGGGUUCCCGGUUGCCUCUUGAGGCCAACCCUAGACAGCACGCUGACUAGGGUGACGUUUAGAGAGCUCAGCCGGUUCAUCAUACCUACGCUUAGGAUGUUGAAUCUGUGCGAGACUAC
rnacentral:rRNA from 1 species